GGAAAGACCCCGUGGAGCUUUACUGUAGCUUGAUAUUGAACUUUGGUGUAAGAUGUACAGGAUAGGUAGGAGACAAAGAAGCAUGCACGCUAGUGUGUGUGGAGUCGACGUUGGGAUACUACCCUUGUUGCACUGGAGUUCUAACCUACAGCCGUAAUCCGGUUGGGGGACAGUGUCAGGUGGGCAGUUUGACUGUGGCGGUCGCCUCCCAAAGAGUAACGGAGGCGCUCAAAGGUUUCCUCAGACUGGUUGGAAAUCAGUCGAAGAGUGUAAAGGCAGAAGGAAGCUUGACUGCGAGACCUACAAGUCGAGCAGGGACGAAAGUCGGACUUAGUGAUCCGGCGGUACCGAAUGGAAGGGCCGUCGCUCAACGGAUAAAAGACUACCCCGGGGAUAACAGGCUGAUCACUCCCAAGAGUUCACAUCGACGGAGUGGUUUGGCACCUCGAUGUCGGCUCAUCGCAUCCUGGGGCUGAAGUCCGGUCCCAAGGGUUGGGCUGUUCGCCCAUUAAAGCGGUACGCGAGCUGGGUUCAGAACGUCGUGAGACAGUUCGGUCCCUAUCCGUCGUGGGCGCAGGAAGUUUGAGAGGAGCUGUCCUUAGUACGAGAGGACCGGGAUGGACAUACCGCUGGUGUAUCAGUUGUCG
rnacentral:ncRNA from 1 species